UUUUUUUUUUAGUUUCCCCCCCCCCGCGGGCAAAACUAGCAUAUCAAUAAGCGGAGGAAAAGAAACUAACAAGGAUUCCCCUAGUAACUGCGAGUGAAGCGGGAAAAGCUCAAAUUUAAAAUCUGAUGGUCUUUGGCCGUCCGAGUUGUAAUUUAGAGAAGCGUCUUCCGCGCUGGACCGUGCACAAGUCUCCUGGAAUGGAGCGUCAUAGAGGGUGAGAAUCCCGUCUUUGGCACGGACACACCAGGGCUUUUGUGAUGCGCUCUCGAAGAGUCGAGUUGUUUGGGAAUGCAGCUCAAAAUGGGUGGUGAACUCCAUCUAAAGCUAAAUAUUGGCGAGAGACCGAUAGCGAACAAGUACCGUGAGGGAAAGAUGAAAAGCACUUUGGAAAGAGAGUGAAACAGUACGUGAAAUUGUUGAAAGGGAAACGCUUGAAGUCAGUCGCGUCGACCGAGACUCAGCCUUGCCUUGGCUUGGUGUACUUCUCGGCUGACGGGUCAGCAUCAAUUUUGCCCCUUGGAUAAUGGCGAGGGAAAUGUGACACCUUUGCGGUGUGUUAUAGUCCCUCGUCGCAUGCAAGGGUUGGGAUUGAGGAACUCAGCACGCGCCUUUGGGCGUCGGGGCUUUGCCCACGAUACGUGCUUAGGAUGUUGGCGUAAUGGCUUUAAACGACCCGUCUUGAAACACGGACCAAGGAGUCUAACAUGCCUGCGAGUGUUCGGGUGGAAAACCCGUGCGCGCAAUGAAAGUGAAAGUUGGGACCUCUGUCGUGGAGGGCACCGACGCCCGGACCAGACCUUCUGUGACGGCUCUGCGGUAGAGCAUGUAUGUUAGGACCCGAAAGAUGGUGAACUAUGCCUGAAUAGGGUGAAGCCAGAGGAAACUCUGGUGGAGGCUCGUAGCGAUUCUGACGUGCAAAUCGAUCGUCAAAUUUGGGUAUAGGGGCGAAAGACUAAUCGAACCAUCUAGUAGCUGGUACUGUCGUGUUUUUUUUUGUCUUCCCACAGGGGAGAAA
rnacentral:rRNA from 1 species